UUUGUUGUUUCUCUCUCGGGCGCUGCACGCGUCCGCUGACAAGGCGCGCAUAUGCACUUUGGAGACGCACAAGCCGAUGUCGGCUGUCUCCUCUCGCUGUGCUCACUCUCACCGCCAUCCUGAGAACCAUCAUCACCACCACCAUUCUCCUCCCCCCAUCCCAUCUACUUCGCUUGCGCACGCUUCUGCAUGGCUGCUGUGUAGGCGCGUUCGAGUUUAUGCGAAACAUCAGGUCAGGCAAAACGUAUAGCUAUCUACGCACCCCCUCCCCCCCUACACACACACAAAUGGGGCUUGAGCAGUGCUGCUCAAGGCACCUACCAAGCUCAUCACACGAGACACAGCAACAUGAAAAAAGUAGAUGAGUGCCUUAGCUACGCUUUUCUUUGUUUGUUGUGUUCGCCUGCGCGCAUCCGCGUGCACGCGCGCCCUUCUUCGCUCCUCUCUCCCACUGCCACACACUGACGCACAUCUCAGGACUCCGAUGACGCACUGGUACGCUCAUUGUUAUCAUAAGUACUUCCGCCGAUGCCCCUCCUCCUUUUGCUCUUCCUUCCACACUUCAUGCUCGCUUCCAGUUUUUUUUUUCCGCCUCGCGCGCUCGCUCUCUUCAUUGUCCAGCCAACCAACACGCGAGAGGGACAACGCUGGUGAGCAGGGGUGCAUCACGUGGCACUCAAGCAGGCCCCAUCACGCACACACCGCAUAGCAACGGAGGGCGAAGCAGCGGAGACGAAGAGCACACAGAGAAGGGAGAAGGCAGCGGAAUGCAUGUGCGCGUACGGACAAGCUAACCUUGAAUGCGGAGAUGUGGUGGUAGACUGCAGAUGCUCCUCAGCGACGGCAGUGGCCACGGACAAACCGUCGGAGGACAGCGCGGCAGGAGCGCGAAGGAUGCGUGUAAGUGGGAGGGACUGUGAAACGGUCUGCAUCGAAGGGGUGAGAGUAAAAGAGCCGCGUAGGAGUUGCCCUUCCGUCGACCUGCUCGCGUGUCUCUCCCUCUCCUGAGCCUUUACAUCGAUACCCUCAACUCGCCACGUCUCUUGCUCCCCUGCCAUAUAUACCCCUAUCCCUGUUUAUCGUCACUUGCGCCGCCGCUCCGUCCACCACCUCAAUCACCGUCCACCCGCUGCUUGGCUUCGACGAGUUUGUGAGGACACCGCACACAACGCAGAUGGCACGGGGCUUUCGCGUCUGCUGCUGCCCUCCUUCGUGUGGACCUCACACGCGCGGUCACUUGUUCGCUAGUGCGCGUGUGUGACGGUGCAUUGGUGUGAUGGCGCUGGUUCACACAUGACUGCCCAUGACGUGCUCCUCUGCUUUUCUUUCUCUAUACCCUCCCCACAUGACGACAUGGUGAGAUGGCGAGGUGAGGGGGUGGGGAGGGGGCCACAGCGCCCCAGCGCGCGGCCUCACAGGGCCCAGUGCACCCCCCACUCUCCCUCUCUCCUUGUGGGAGAAAGCCAGGCGGUCCCGCCCCCCGCCCUAUCCCCAGCCAAAUGCCGAGCCGCCCCUCUGGUGGCCACAGGGCCAAGCACCGGCGACGCGCGGGGGCCAGAGCGAUGCACGGCGACUGAUGUCGGCGGUCAGGUCGUGGAUGGCGCGGCGCCGGAGCGGCCAGCGACCGCGAGCACGCUUGUGCCGCCGACAUGACAAGCCGAGUGCCGGCGUGGCUCGAAGGCAUCUGUCACCCGGCCCUCGCUGCCCACUGGUGGAGGGAGCCUGCGCCACCGCGAGGGGGGUGCACCGGGGGCGGUGGCCGGCAUGACGGGAGCGGCUGUGAGGCUGCCUGCGGAGUGGGGUGUGGGUGGAGUCCGCUGCCGAGGCCGUGCUCUCAGAUGGCUGAGCCGGCGCACUGCUGCACCGGCGUGCGCCUAGGGCUGCGCCGCGCCACGCGACGGGUGGCCUGUGGCAGCGCCGGGGAGGCUCGAGGGCGGAGGUGGACCUCGCGUUGCCUGGCAGAGGAGUGGACUCACAUUGGAAUAGAAGAAAGAAUGCCACUGCUGCUCUCCGUGCGCUCUUUGCGUGCCGCUCGUCGACUCUGUGAGCGACGGCGCCUACAUCACGAACGGUUGCG
rnacentral:misc_RNA from 1 species